CCCUAGUACAAUUUGGAACUGAUUAUGUACGAGGUUUGAUCAUCCGUCUUAUUUAAAAUUUUUUUUAUGAUUAGUAUUUUUAUUAUUAUUAGAUGAUAAAACAUAAAUAGUAAUUUAUGCGUGACUAAUUUUUUAAUGUUUUUUCAUAAAUUUUUAAAUAAGACGGACGAUCAAAUAUUGGAUACGGAAACCCACAACUACACUUAAA
rfam:Oryza sativa (indica cultivar-group) chromosome 5, whole genome shotgun sequence.